GCGCGGGUGGCGGAAUGGCAGACGCGCUAGCUUGAGGUGCUAGUGUCCGAAAGGACGUGGGGGUUCAAGUCCCCCUCCGCGCA
rnacentral:tRNA from 1 species